CAGCUCAUAUAAGGUAAAAGGCAGAGUGGCCUCUGUGGCCAGGGAGCCGCAGGCAAGGGACUAAGGGGAGGGGGGCUCAGUGCCAGCUGCUUAAAAAUGCCCCUGUGGCAGCGAGGGGCACCAGAGGCUGGGUCUAAUUAGUUGAGAAGCAGUGACACCCCCAACCACUCCCCAAACAGGCUGGCUCCCGUCUCCAGGCCCCAAGGAGCCACACCUGGACCAGACCCCAGGAAAGGACAUGUGGUGGAAACCCUACGGCCCUGGAGCCCAAGGAGAGCAACGGCUGUAACAAGUGCACAGGGCAAGGGCGCUAGCUGGUGGGAGCCACCCCGCCAUGCUGAUGUCAGAGAAGCAAGAACUCUGGAGAAGCAGCCUCCUGGGACCAGAGGAGGGCCAGCAGCAGGCAGCCCGGAGACAGAACUGCUCACCCACGCCUCUCCAAGCCUCCCAACAGAAGACAGAGGUCCCCCACAGCCAGAGACAUUUCCUGAAGACAUGGGGAACACAGAGGCAGAAACAGCCCAUCCACCCAGGAGCUGUCCCCCACACUGCCGGGAGCCGGCACCCAGAGCCGCCAGGUAAAACUGAGGCCACCUGGUUCAACAUCACCUUUCACAGAAGGGGAAGCAGCCACAGAAAGAAGGGCCUCGUUAAGAAGUGGAACCUGGGACCCCCAAGCGGUGUCUCUCAUCCUGACUGGGGAUCCAGAGUAGGAGGGAGCCUUUGGUGGGGGUUGGAGUCCCGCCACAGGCCACCAGAGCGGAGCAGCGCAGCGCCCUGUCUCCCAGCCUGAGGUGCAGUGCUGCAUCUCUGGUCAGUUGGGAGUCUGAGAUGAAGCACUGUAGCUCAGGAAGAGAGAAGUUGUUCUGCAGCCAUCAGCCUGGAAGUGGCCUGGCUGGUGGGCCUUCUUGCAGUAGCUUCCCCUGGAGAAGAGGAAAAGCAAACCUUCAUUGAGACCCAAGCGGUCUCUCCUGUGCUCUGUGACAAUAAUAAAGUUCCAGCCCUUGGC
rnacentral:lncRNA from 1 species